ACUGCCUUGUCAGUGGAAGUGGGCGUUUUCGGAAGAGGCAAUCAGCAGGUGAUAGGUGUGUGAGAAGAUUUUGAGGACGGUUUUGAGGCCAUUAGGGGAAGGGGAGCUUGAGGAAGAAACCAACUGAGGAAAAAAAAGGAAAAGGGUUUUACAAAGGAACUGAGGAUGAGAAUAGUAGGUUUUCAUUUUCUGGGAUUCAAGGGUAGUUUUAAGUGAGAGCUGAAAAAAAUGUGUGAAAUAGAAAUAGUGAAUCGGUAGAGAGAUAAUUUCAGCUUAAGUGAGGGCCAUUCCAUAAGGAGUUAGAGAGUAGAAAGGGGCAUUUAGAGCAGCAAAGACAAGAAGCGAAAAAGCGAAGGAGAAGAAGCACAGAAUCAGCUCGCUACUCUUUUUCUUAUCCAGUCAUGAUUACAACAUAUUUUACAUUUUCCCAUUUUAGACUAUUCUCCCUUGUUUCCUGCUGAUUUUGGAUUCAUCUUGGUGCUUGAAUGUUGACAUCAGAUAUUGUGCAUAUUUGUGAAAUCUAAGACCAAUUUUUAUGCAUUUUCUUUUAUUCUAGUAUGGUUCUUUUAGCUCUGUUUGUAAGCAACUUGUGCAUUUCUCUAUUCAUGAACGAGUUGAAUAUGGAUCCAUCACUGAAUCUGAUUAUCAAAGAUCAUGCUCUUGCUUCCUUUUGAUUCCACCUGUAUCUAGCCCAUUGACCUUUAUGAAAUGGAGCUAGGUUUAACCAUAUUAUUUUUGUUUGUGCAUGCUUUGUUUUUGUUUUUUUUUUUUACUUUCUCCUCUGUUUCUGGUAUUUUUGGAGUGGUGGGUAUCAUGUUUGGGUUGGCCAUCUUGAUAUGUGUGCUUUUUGAAGAGCUCAGGUUGGUCCAAUAGCUUCAGUUGUGGAAGAAGUCUAGCUGUUGAGAGUGUCUUCCAAGCUCAGAAUUGAUUUUGUUGGCACCAUUAAUUAGCGUGAAGAGUACCCCUGGUGCUUCCAGAGAGUAGUGCUUGAAUGUGAAGAUGAGAGUCUUGUUAGCAUGGAUUUAGCUUCUAUAGGGACACACCUCGAGGGGUCCCCUAGUGUCAGCGCUUUCUCUUGAUUUAGAACACUUUUGGAACUGAAUGCAUGAGUAGUAGGCAUCUGGGGAAAUUGAAGUGUUGAACAGAUAAAAGAAAAUAAGCAAGACUUUUUUAAGAAGGAAAUAUUGCUCAUGGGAAUCAAUUGGUACACAAGUCCAGAAAAAGUUUCUUAUGCUCCUGUGAUUUCUGCUGAAAAGGCAUACCAUAAGCAACUUUCAGCAGCUGAAAUUACCAACAAUGCUUUUGAGCCCUCUUCUAUGAUAGCCCAGUGUGACACCUGCCAGGGCCAGAACACGACAUGCUAGCUGAAGUAUCGAGGUGAUGGGGUGCCCAAGGACGCAAGUGCCGAUGUAGCCACCAUCUCUCCCACCUUUGCACUGCCAUGCAUGGCCACCCAAAACCUUCGUAAAACCCUCAACUGAAACCCCAUUCUAUCAAACCUUAAUCUCAAGCCAAACCGCUCCUGUCUAAAACGUCAUGAUAAACUCACCACCUCCCUAUCUAUUAUACCCACUACCAACAACUUAUUCAACCACCAUACCCAUAUGUCCAUCUUUCAAUACCCACUAAACCCACUUUUCUCACUACCUUCCACCACCCAUUCCGUCAAUCAUAACCCACACCCUUCAUACCCACCAGUCCCCAUUAUUCAUAUCCACCGAACCUGAUCACCAGAACGCACUCACCCAUUCAGCUCAUCACUUUCGCAACCAUCCACCUAUACCCAAUCCUCUACCCGAUCUCCUUGUCACCUUUCCCACCCCCCUACUUGCAUGGCACGCAUGAUAUUUUCUAGCAUUGGUAGAAAUUAAUGGAGGAUGUGAGGAAACCUUGACACUGUUUAGGAAGAGGCAAGAGUUGGAAAUCCAUCAAAAGUUGAUGAGCUUGCAUACAUUUCAAAGGCGUAGCACAUGGUCCUGACCAUGCUACAAAUAUUAGAAGCUUGAGGAUGAACAAAGGAAUGACUCAGGUGAAAGCAAGACAUAUGGAUAGACGCGGCUUUAAGGAAGUGUUGGAAUUUUUAUGUGUGGACUUACAUAAUCAAUUUAAUAAUGUCAUAAAUCAGUGUUAUUUAUUUUUGCAUUGUGGUCCAUAAUGGGACUGGACACAUAUUGUUGCUUGAUUUUUUAUGGGCUCACCCUAAUUCACUUGACUGGCCCAUUAAGUCAAGUGGUGGUCCAAAUAAUGUGUGUGAUAUAUAUAUAUGAAUAUAUUUAUUUAUUUAUAUAUAUACAUAAAAGAAAAGGAAGGGCUCUCUCUGUGAGGUUGGCUGCUCCCUGCUCCUUCCUCCUUUGGCUGAAAGAGAGCACGCACUCUCGUUUUGGACUGAAUCCGGGUGUAGAAGGGAAGAGCUCAUUGACCUGUAAUUCUCGCACCAUCAAGCACUGGAGGAGCUUCCUGAAUACCAGAAAAGAGCUAGAAAUGGCCUUUCACGGAAUUAACCAAGAAGGGAAGAGCUCAUUGACCUGUAAUUCUCGCACCAUCAAGCACUGGAGGAGCUUCCUGAAUACCAGAAAAGAGCUAGAAAUGGCCUUUCACGGAAUUAACCAAGGUGAACGUUUCCGUUUUUGCCGUUCAAUGGAUGCUUAAAUGUCAACAUGUGAUCCUAUGCUGUUUAAAUUUUCUUCAGGAAGCUGACCUAAGUAACCCAGACAAGGAUCGAGACCUUGAGUUUGGUGGUUCUGAAGGAGAAGACAUCCCUAGAGUUGGAAGUAAUUGGUGAAGAUGGGACUGUACAAUCUGUUUGAGCAAGUUGUAUUUGGCACAAUUAAAGAUCUUGUUGUUCCACGUUGGAAUGAAAGGUUCCACUAUCCACAAGACUGUAAGGCUGCAGGGAAGAGGAGAGAAGCUAUCGUCUUGUUCUAUCUCCAAUGACCUGCAUCAGUUCCUUCAAUCCUUUGCAUGAGCCCUUUUAAUCUCUGACCCCGCUCCAUUUCCUCACGUGACUCUCAUGCCAAAUGUAGCCUCGUUGCCAGGUGUGCUCUCGCAUCUCGCAUGGGUUUAAACGGAUAAAAAGUCAAGUGGCCUUAGAGAUCUUAGGUGACUCUUCAUCAUUGGCAAGAGAGGAAUUAUCAUGCAGUCCCACUUUGGCACUGCUCGACCCCCAUGCUGCCAUCCACAUGCAUUCAAACCUCUACCAGAUUUACCUUUGUCAACCCCACAUGUAGACUAUACAAGUCCAUGAUUUGAGUUUGAGUCAAAAAAUUUCUGAAUUUGAUGAUUCUAA